CGCCUUCGUGUUGCCCGUUCGCUUUGCUGCUAGUGAACGCGGUGUCAAGAGAGGCGCAGAGCAAGCCCCCGGCAGGGCUUUCCCGCCGGCGACGCCGUCCCGGCACAGGAACUGCCGAGGGACAGCC